GCCUCUCCCGCUCCCUCCCAGUAAUUGCUCCUGCCCUUCCUAGAAUCAGCCGAGGGUGCUGGGCAGCAUUUCAGCAGCCCUUAAGAUGCAGUGGGUCCCUGGGAGCCAGGUGCAGGCGGAAGGAGGCUUCAGAGAGAGGAACCCACAUCCAGUAUGAUGCUCAGCUCCUGUGUCAGACUGUGAGCCCCUCGAGGCAACUCUGUGACCCCUGUGCCCAGAACUAAGGGGGAGAGAAGCACCAAGCAGGUUUGCCAGAUGAAGCUCCGAGAUAAAUGGCGCGGCGGAAGGAGCCUCGGCCCCGGUGGGGCUCACCGCCUCCCCUCUCUGUCAGCUGUCUCGGGCAGGCCUGCGAGACAGAUGGCUGCAGCCGAGCCCCGCGGAGGGCC